rnacentral:rRNA from 1 species
CACGUAGGACGCAAGCGUUAUCCGGAAUUACUGGGCGUAAAGAGCGUGUAGGCGGUUCUGUAAGUCAACCGUGAAAGCUCCCGGCUAAACUGGGAGAGGUCGGAUGAGACUGCAGGGCUAGAGGGUCGUAGAGGGGUGUGGAAUUCCGGGUGUAGUGGUGAAAUGCGUAGAGAUCCGGAGGAACACCAGAGGCGAAGGCGGCACCCUGGACGACACCAGACGCUGAGACGCGACAGCACGGGGAGCGAACGGG